rnacentral:rRNA from 1 species
UACGAGGGGGGCGAGCGUUGUCCGGAUUUAUUGGGCGUAAAGAGCGUGUAGGCGGCCAGGUAGGUCUGCUGUGAAAACUCGAGGCUCAACCUCGAGACGUCGGCGGAAACCAUCUGGCUAGAGUCCGGAAGAGGAGAGUGGAAUUCCUGGUGUAGCGGUGAAAUGCGCAGAUAUCAGGAAGAACACCCGUGGCGAAGGCGGCUCUCUGGGACGGUACUGACGCUGAGACGCGAAAGCGUGGGGAGCGAACAGG